UGCCCAACGGGGUAAGCUACUCACUCCUUGCAAGUAAAAAUUUACUACUCAACUGGGCGUUGUCUGUCUCCUUUGUCAGGAGGUGAUCUCAGAAUUUUAGUAACAACUUGGUCCUUCGAGCCGGAUCCCAACAUCUCUGACUGGAGGACGGGGAGGAACUGGUGAAGCUGAAAAACCUGUGCACAGUCUGGUCUGGGACCUGAAAGACCUCCACCGCAGAGUUCGGUGAAAAAAGAGGCCAGCUGAACCAGGACACCUCCGUCCAACAGUGGGGUGACGGGAUCCGAACAACAGUGAACGAGACCCUGCCUGCCUAAGAAGACACCAGUUGAGUGAGUAUGAGUGUGUUUGAGAGGUCGCGCGCAUGAACCGUUCUUGGGUGAACCGUUCUUGAGUGAGAGGUUGCUGCCCAGAGGGGUAAGCUACUCACUCCUAGUAAAGACCUGAUUAGGGAGGUCUCUAAAGACAAACCUCGCGCAUGCACGUUAAAGAUAAAGCUAGCAAAGAACGGUGUGAUUGGUGUGUGAUUGAUGAGUGAUUGGGUUCGCGACAGCCGAAGCAGCGGGCAGAGGGUAAACCUGAUCGGUGUCAACUGACUCUGCUGACUGUUGAAGUAGGCUGUUGGCGUUCCAUUGGCAAAUAUGAGAAGUAGUGGCAGUAAAAAGAUUGAACCUCAGCUGAUGGCUGAUGCAAAAUACAUGCAUAAACGUUACCCUGGCUCUUGUGAACAAUUGAGCAUGUGGCAAAAGAAAUAUGAUUUCAAUGAAACUCGGAGUAACUGCUUGUACUCUGUUGGUAAAAAAAGAAAAAAAAAUUGAUUGGGUGCAAAAAAAAAAUGGUUGGUCUGAACUCAAGUGACCUUUCAGCAUAGCUGGACUAUGUAAGAUAGAUAGAUAGAUAGAUAGAUAGAUAGAUAUAUUGAUCCCAACCAGGGAAAUUCUGGUGUUCCAGCAGCAACAGUAGAAACAUACAAUAAAGUUAAAUAAAAAAGAAUAAAGGCUAAUUAUAUACAGUAAAGUCUAUAAAGACUAAAAACUAAAACAUACAAUAAGGGCUAACCUAAGAAAAAGAGAUAUGAGAUGUGAAAUAUGCAGAUGGUAAUGAAUAUGACAAUAUACAGAGGGAGUAGAAAGUAAAAAGUAGUAAAAGUAUGGACUAAAAUAUGCACAAAUGUGGAAAGAGGAAGCAGUAUGAUGAAGAUUAUGGUUGUAAUUCUUCAGCACCGUCACAACAAGCACAACAACAACAGGCAGGACAGAGACGUGCCACGUCUCCCCCAUACUGCCUCGCCACCACCUUUUGCGGCAGCACAGGCAGAGCUGGAUGCGCUUAAAGGUGCUGUAGGUGGAAAGGAAAGGAAAGAAUGGAAAUGCAGGGAAGAAAAAAUGAGGAGAGCAUGGAAAUGUUUGAACUAGAGGUUUAUUUGAAGCAAAUUGAUAAAAAAAACAAACAAAAAAAAAACCCACUAUUGACCUCUAUGCAAUGGAUAAGCUGAUCACCUUUCUUUGUGAUUCUGGAGCUGAUAAAAUAGUGGUGAAUGAUCCCUGGUUCUCAGAUAAACUGUCAAAUGAUUUUGUCUGGGACAGAUCAGCAAAUGGUCUGAUGUCAAAGGAAUUUCUGACAUAUAACAUGUUUGUGAAGGAUGACCUUACUGGCAGAAGCACAAAGACACAACACCUUUAUUCUAGCAGCUGCCCGGUUAAUCUUUUGAGCAGACAAACAAUGUGCGAACUGAGCUUGGCCUUGCUUCCCACACUCAAGGGCCUGAUAGUUAAACAAGUAAACAACGGUGAAGACGUUUUUGUUAUGGAAGGGCGAGGGCAGCCCCAAUAUUUUUACACUUUGGACUUGUGUGCUUCAGCAGUCAGUGACAUCCCACGCACAUUGAUAGAAAUGGCAGAUGCACGUGUUCCAUCCAUGUCAGAAAAACACAGCUACACAGACUUACACUGUACAAUGUACUUCCCUCAUUCUGGUGAACCAGAUAAAAAAUAUAAGCUAAACUUGGUCAGCUGACAGAUCUACAACUCAGUUUAACAGACAUGGUGUGGGACAAACACGGAAACUCUGUGGUUGCAGUUUCACUAACUAACACACAGCAGCUCCUGUACAGAGAACAUGCACCUCCACAUGUGUCUCUUACUCGUAACCCCAACACAGAAUGGAGAGACCUCUACCGUCUCCUGUGUCAGACAAAAAUUGGCACUGAUUGCCACCCUGUGCAGACCCACCUUUUCUACAGUCCCACAUAUGGACUGUACAAACAACGCCUCAAUUGGUGCACGCGAGUGGAAACUGCAACCCACUUGAUACAAUAAUAAUAAUAAUAAUGAUAAAUCUUAUUUGUAACGCACUUUACAUUUAACAAUCUUAAAGUGCUACAGAGGAGAAAGAAGAAAAAUAUCAGAAAGUUGAGAAGAAGUGUCUUUGUCCUCUGAGGAGGAAGAGCGAUUGACUGAGAUAAAUCCAAACUUGUGGUCCUCUGGACCCGCUGAUGUUGGUUUGAUAAAGGUGCAACACCGGUACAAAUUACACCAAAGACUUCUUUUAGGCCAUGUGUUAAACAAUAUCCCCUAAAGAGAGAUGCUGAAGAAGGCAUAUCAGAUACUAUAGAUGCGUUGGUAAAGGCAGGUGUUAUAGUUCCUUGCCCUGAUUCACCUGUUAAUACUCCAUUGUUCCCUGUAAAGAAAGCAGCCAUCCCAGUGCAUCCCGACAGUCAAUUCUGGUUUGCCUUCAUGUAUAAACGAAAGAAGUGGACGUUCACACAUUUAGCCCAAAGUUACUGUGAAUCUCCCACCAUUUUCUCACAAUGGAUGUCAUCUAAUCUAGCUAAAUUUUCACCACUCUGUGUUAGUAAAUUACUGCUGUAUGUUGAUGACAUAUUGUUAGCUUCCCCUACAGAAAAAGCAUGUCAAAUUGACAUGAAAGCCUUGCUAAAAUUCUUAGCUGAUAAUGGGCACAAAGUCAAUAAAGCAAAAUUGCAGCUCUAGCGUCCUACAGUUAAAUAUUUGGGUGACAACAUUAGUGCAGACGGAAAAGCCUUAGAUCCGAAAUGUAAACAAGUCAUUCUUAAUGCACCUAAACCAUGCACCAAACAACUGUUCAACAAUUGUUGUUCAAAUGGUGUAUUGUAAAAAUGGUCACAUGUCAUCAGUCCUGUUGCAGUCUUAUGGUGACAAGUUGAGACCCUUGGCAUACUAUUCUUCUAAAUUAGAUUCUGUCACCUUAGCGUUCCCAGUAUGUGUCCAGGCGGUUAUUGUUGCUUCAAUGGCCGUUCAGGCAUCUUCUAGUAUUGUUCACUUUCACCCCCUUACAGUAUAGCCUUUUCUGACACAGAUUCCAUUGAGUCUGAACGAUCUUUUUGGUUGUCUCAUGGUGCUUCAAUUGUUGAUGGUAUUUACUUCUCUCCUGAAAAAAAAAAAAAAACUAUUUCCCUAGAAAUCUAUAUAGAUGGGCGUGUAUUUUGAGCCACGGUCCUUGCCAUGGUUCGACAGGAGGGAUGAAUACCCUUAUAUUAAGUAAAUCCACAGCAUACGGUUUCAGAAAUUUUUCAAAGAAUUUUGUAGCAAGAUGACACAUAUGUGCAGAAUUCAAUACCCAGGGACGGCUGAAACCAAAACGAGGAGUUUUCCCAAUGCCCACAGAACCAUUUGAAGCUAUGGCAUUGGAUCUUAUACAACUUAAUAAAUGUGAAGGGAAAGAAUAUUGCCUUGUAAUGAUAGAUAUGUUUAGUAAAUGGGUAGAGAUAUUCCCCACAAAAAAUCCAGUUGCCCUGACAGUAGCCAAAGCAUUGUGUAGAGAAAUUAUUCCUAGAUAUGGCAUCCCCAGAACGCUAUAUAGUGACAAUGGAGCCCACUUUGUAAACAAAAUCAUAGAACAUGUGGGAACAAGACUACAGAUAGAUUUAAAGAAUUAUCGUGCCUACCAUCCUCAAAGUGCAGGGCUGGUAGAGAGAUAUAAUGGAACAAUAAAAAAAUUAACUUAGGAAAUGUAGGGCUGAAUCAGGAAAAAAAAA